UACGUAGGGAGCAAGCGUUGUCCGGAAUCAUUGGGCGUAAAGCGCGCGUAGGUGGCUUCGUAAGUCCGCUGUGAAAGUCAAAGGCUCAACCUUUGAAAGCCGGUGGAUACUGCGGGGCUAGAGUACGGAAGAGGCGAGUGGAAUUCCUGGUGUAGCGGUGGAAUGCGCAGAUAUCAGGAGGAACACCAAUAGCGAAGGCAGCUCGCUGGGACGUUACUGACACUGAGGCGCGAAAGCGUGGGGAGCAAACAGG
rnacentral:rRNA from 1 species